rnacentral:rRNA from 1 species
UACGAAGGGUGCAAGCGUUGCUCGGAAUUAUUGGGCGUAAAGCGCACGUAGGCGGCUGUGCAAGUUCGAUGUGAAAUCCCUCGGCUCAACCAAGGAAGUGCAUCGAAAACUGCAGAGCUUGAGUACGAAAGAGGAUCGCGGAAUUCCCGGUGUAGAGGUGAAAUUCGUAGAUAUCGGGAGGAACACCAGUGGCGAAGGCGGCGAUCUGGGUCGAUACUGACGCUGAGGUGCGAAAGCGUGGGGAGCGAACAGG